AGUGAACGCUGGCGGCAGGCCUAACACAUGCAAGUCGAACGAGUGGCGGACGGGUGAGUAAUGUCUGGGAAACUGCCUGAUGGAGGGGGAUAACUACUGGAAACGGUAGCUAAUACCGCAUACCAUCGGAUGUGCCCAGAUGGGAUUAGCUAGUAGGUGGGGUAAAGGCUCACCUAGGCGACCAUCCCUAGCUGGUCUGGGAGGAUGACCAGCCACACUGGAACUGAUCCACGGUCCGGCCUCCUACGUGAGGCAGCAGUGGGGAAUCUUGCACAGUGGGCGCAAGCCUGAUGCAGCCAUGCCGCGUGUAUGAAGAAGGCCUUAGGGUUGUAAAGUACUUUCAGCGGGGAGGCGUUACCCGCAGAAGAAGCACCGGCUAACUCCGUGCCAGCAGCCGCGGUAAUAC
rnacentral:rRNA from 1 species